UUCUGCUUUUGAGGUUGUCAACGCCACCGUUGCUUCCCCCAGAACAGAUCACAAAGUACAAUCAUACAUGUAUAUAAUGCAGAUUGAGUAUAUAAUAGUAUAUACGUAGAGCAGUAAGUGAAACCAGAAUUUCUUCGUAUUGGUCGAGAAGACUGCGACUGAGGUUUAGACCGACAGGAGAAUGAGGUUUCUCCAGGUCGUCACGCUGCUAGGAGUAGGAGUACUUCUUGGAGCCGCCCUCCCAACCAAAGCCAUUCCGGCACCGAAAUGGGAUGGGAAGGAUCACUCGGAAAUUCUCAAAGACCUGGUGCUGAACUACAAGUACAACGAUGACGCUCGUGAACCACGAGAAAGUACCGAAUGCAGCGGAAAUGCUAGCUACACUGGCCAGUGUAACUUGGACUGUCAGUGUGUGGAUGGCAAGUGGAAAUGCUGCCGGCUGAGGAAGAGUGUCAAGAACUUAUCUCAGGAGGAGAGAGAUCGAUUUACACGUACAUUCUUGACAGCUACCAGGAAUGAAAUUUACCAGCCAGCUAUGCGUUCCAUACAAUGGUCGCAUGCCGUGUUCGUCUGCGGAAAGGUACCCAAGUCAUUGUAUACACAAAGCGAUACCAUAGGCUAUCACAACUUGCUUUUGUUUGCUAUGGAGAACCUGCUACGCCUGAUUGACUGCCGGGUUACUAUUCGCUACUGGGAUGUUUCACUGGACUAUGGCAAGACGUACUUAGAGCAAGUACCUGAAGGUUUUGGUGGCACAGGAGUGCCCCCAGAUUACUGUGUAGUUGAUGGACCAUACAGAAAAGGGGAAUACACCAUACUAAAGUUCAGUUACAAUGGCGUGGAGUUGCCCUACACGUCAUGCUUAACACGGAAUAUGUCCUCCACAAUGAAGCCUACAUCGUACCUAGAGUUCAAUACAAUGUUGACUGUGCCUCCAGACAGCUCUAUGAUGUUUGAGCUAGGUGUCUACGAGACCUUUGAUACCAACUUCCAUCUUGGUUUCGGUGGAACAUUCCAAGGCGUGAUACCAGGCAUGGAUCCAUUAUUUUACAUGAUCCACAAUUUCGGGACCAAGGUGUUGGCAAACUACCAGCAGCAAGGACCGGAUCACUUCACUGGCGGAGGACGUUGGAAUAACAGUGCGCCAGUGGAAACUUUACCGUGGUUUCAGAACAGGGAGUUUUUUGACGCUCAAAACUUUCCGAAUGAUGUGUGCAUCCGCUGGGAUGCUGUGGCUGAUCGAGAGAAGCUGAUCGAGAUGGGACACUACGCAGGACUGGAAACACCAAGGUUGGACCACAUAGCGUUGCCCUAUAAGCUUGGUGACAUCGUCCAAGAUCGACAGGGAUGGCGGGUCACCUGCCGUGACGCUGUCGACGCUAUUGUCCAGUCCCGCAUGGAGCCUGUGGCGAAGGCCCCUCAUUUGUGGCACUUGUGCGCGCAGUUUUCGUCGGCCACAGGAUAUUGCGACGCACAAGUGUAACGCUGUUCGCGCGGCCCGCGCGCGCUGAGUAUGGCGUUCCCCGCCCGGUGGACAACACGUCUCCUGGUCUGCCCCGUAUGUGGCCACAUAGCCAGUCAUGGCAGUGGAAGAAGGAAGGAAGGAAGCUUUCACCGUCCAGGAGCGACACUGACUCGCACUGCUAUCUGGUGCUCACGAGGUGUUUGUCGCGCUGCAAACGGAGCGUCUCUCAUUAGGCGAUUUGAUCGCAGGACGAGAGAGGAGCUGAUGGACGAUCUCUCCAAUGUUCCUCUUGGUUCGGAGCGGCGCCGAGUGCUGACGUUGGGACUUGGCCGGUGUGUGCACACCGCUAGCUAAACCGACCAACGGCUACUCCCAGGGCACAAACUAUUCUGCUGGAGGCAGCGUCGUCUUCGGCUGAAAUUCCGGAUACAACCUGCAGGGAAGCAUUGUGCGCAUCUGCCAGAUUGACGGUUCCUGGAGUGGGGCAGCUGCCUCAUGUAAUCCCAUUCAACUGCAGUGCCAGUCUGGCUACCUGCCCUGCCUGCGUUCCAGUGGCUGUAUCCUGCCAUCACAGCGCUGCGACGGUGUUUGGUACGACUGCUGAUGGCUCUGAUGCACAGUACUGCCCAGGCAAGGUCACACCAGCUCCAGGUCAAACCGACUGCCAGGUCCUGUCACCACCGGCACUGGGCUCAAUGACCGUGAACGGCUUGAUGUUCAGCAACACGACCACGUUUGUGUGCACAUCUCCCUAUGUCCUUAUGGGCUCGGCCGUGUGUACUUGUGAAAUCAACGGCCAGUGGAGCGUAGUGCAGCCAACUUGCGUCCUGACGACUGCUGCUCUGAGUGCGGCCAGUGACGAGCUAGUCAAGGACUCCGUCUCAGAACGCAUGACACAAACGUGUUAGCUCCCGCUCCAUGCCCAUUGUUGGAGCGACAGUCCUGGAAUCCAGAGUUGCAAGUUAGGUGGUGAUACGGCAAGCAGACGGUGGCAAAGUACGGCUUAAAAGCUCUACAUCUGGCAAGUGGCCGGCAUACCACCCCAAUGGACAUCGGAACAGUGCACGUAGAGUAGCAUCUCUACGUGACAGGGUAUGAGCGCAAGCCAGUAUUGCCAAGCACUGGGGACCUUUGGCAAUCUGAAGAAUGUUUUGUCCGAGAAUCGAUCCUUGGAUCUGUGGCGUUGCAGUUGUGGUGCUCCCGACCCUCUUGCGCGAUGGC